GAAACAGGUACACUAUGUCCCCCAGCUUCACUCUACAAGCAUCUUUAAAAGAAAUCGUGUCUCCACUUUCCUCCUGCUCAGUUCCUACCUGAAACUCCUGCUAUUAUCAGAAUAAGGAACAGAAAAUCGCACAUCUCAGCCGGUACAGCUAGUCUUUCUCACCGUCUCCGGUCGCUGAGGGGUUAAACGUCGCUUGGUAGUAGGAAGUGGGUGGCUGGAGCCGAGGAUGGAGCAAAGACUGUGAAGCAAACACAGAUCAUUUCUUCACAGGAAAAGCGGUGCUACACCCAAGAAGAACAGACUAAACACAUCGAAUACCCGAAGACGGACAAAUCCGUGUCCCAGGGGACGAAAACGAGAAGCGAUCAACCUGCUUUCGAUGCCGCUGUGUUUGCAUGUUUCACCAGAUGGACGGGUAGAGGCGCUUCUCAUUCAUCGUGCCUUUCCCCCCUUUUUCCUUUUUUUCUUUUUUUUAAAUGCACAUAUUCCCUGACGUGGAUGUGUGAUAAGAUCGAGAUCUGUGGUAGUGAUGUGCAGAAUGCAUGCAGUGAACUCUGUGUACAUGCACGCAGCACAUAGAUGUAUGUGGCUUGGCUGCUUGAGGACUUCUUUACUGGGUUUUUAAACCAACGGAGCAUCAUCGCGACAGAAGCAUCUAAAAUGGUGAUCUAAUUUAAUUUUAGUGAAAAUGUUUUUUGUCUUUGGCCGUGGAUCACCGGCUGUUCGGGAGUGAAGAUGUGCGCAAACUUUGUUUUAUCUUCGCCUCGAUAAGCCUCGGUGUGAGGGGUUCUUCUCUAUCUCCCAGCUGGACUUAAGUUCAUGCAGAGCAAGCUGAUCCCACCGUGAAGCCUCUUGCUUAUUCAGCACUUCGCAGAGGAGCCUAGUCAGUACUCUCUGUCAGUCUCAGCCAGCAUGGGAUGUCGGCUGCGGUCGAGCACAGGAGCGGCACUUUUUAUAUUUUGGUCAAACCCCGGUGUAGUUUUUUCCUUGUAGCACGUGACGGUAAACGUUUAUAUAUGCGUAUUUAUAUAUAGGAUUUGUGGUAUUUCUCAUACUGACCUUAACAGGGCCACCUAAUCUCCGGAACAUCAUCUGCUUUUCUCUGAAAAGUGAUGUUGACACCUACCGACACUCCGUCGGGUAUUUCGGCUUAUUAGCGUUCAAUUAUCACGUCUUGCUGGCUCGCUGAAAG
ensembl:lncRNA